GGUCCUGAGUACAGUGGCGCACGGGUGAGUAACACGUGACUUAUCUACCCUCGAGUGGGGAAUAACUUCGGGAAACCGAGGCUAAUACCGCAUAAUACCCACGGGUCAAAGGAGCAAUUCGCUUGAGGAGGAGGUCGCGGCCGAUUAGUUAGUUGGCGGGGUAAUGGCCCCACCCAAGACGGUGAUCGGUAUCCGGCCUGAGAGGGCGCACGGACACACUGGAACUGAAACACGGUCCAGACUCCUACGGGAGGCAGCAGUGGGGAAUUUUGCGCAAUGGGGGAAACCCUGACGCAGCAACGCCGCGUGGAGGAUGAAGUCUCUUGGGACGUAAACUCCUUUCGAUCGGGACGAUUAUGACGGUACCGGAAGAAGAAGCCCCGGCUAACUUCGUG
rnacentral:rRNA from 1 species